UACGUAGGGUGCAAGCGUUGUCCGGAAUUAUUGGGCGUAAAGAGCUCGUAGGCGGUUUGUCGCGUCUGCUGUGAAAUCCCAGGGCUUAACCCUGGGCCUGCAGUGGGUACGGGCAAACUAGAGUUUGGUAGAGGAGAACGGAAUUCCCGGUGUAGCGGUGGAAUGCGCAGAUAUCGGGAGGAAGACCCGUAGCGAAGGCGGUUCUCUGGGCCAAUACUGACGCUGAGGAGCGAAAGCGUGGGGAGCAAACAGG
rnacentral:rRNA from 1 species